GAUGAACGCUAGCUACAGGCUUAACACAUGCAAGUCGAGGGGCAUCAGGAAGAAAGCUUGCUUUCUUUGCUGGCGACCGGCGCACGGGUGAGUAACACGUAUCCAACCUGCCCUAUACUGGGGAAUAAUCACUGGAAACGGUGACUAAUACCGCAUGUCAUCACGGAAGGGCAUCCUUCUGUGAGAAAAGGAGCAAUUCGGUAUAGGAUGGGCCCGCAUCUGAUUAGCUAGUUGGUGAGAUAACAGCCCACCAAGGCAACGAUCAGUAGCCGACCUGAGAGGGUGAUCGGCCACAUUGGGACUGAGACACGGCCCAAACUCCUACGGGAGGCAGCAGUGGGGAAUAUUGCACAAUGGGGGGAACCCUGAUGCAGCAACGCCGCGUGAAGG
rnacentral:rRNA from 1 species